rnacentral:rRNA from 1 species
GAUGAACGCUGGCGGCGUGCUUAACACAUGCAAGUCGAACGAGCCUUCGGGCUAGUGGCGGACGGGUGAGUAACGCGUGGGAAUCUGCCCUCAGGAGGGGGAUAACGGCCGGAAACGGCCGCUAAUACCCCAUAUGCCGAGAGGUGAAAUGAAUUUCGCCUGAGGAUGAGCCCGCGUCUGAUUAGCUAGUUGGUGGGGUAAUGGCCCACCAAGGCGACGAUCAGUAGCUGGUCUGAGAGGAUGAUCAGCCACACUGGGACUGAGACACGGCCCAGACUCCUACGGGAGGCAGCAGUGGGGAAUUUUCCGCAAUGGGCGAAAGCCUGACGGAGCAACGCCGCGUGAGGGAUGAAGGCCUCUGGGCUGUAAACCUCUUUUCUCAAGGAAGAAGACAUGACGGUACUUGAGGAAUAAGCCACGGCUAAUUCCGUGCCAGCAGCCGCGGUAAUACGGGAGUGGCAAGCGUUAUCCGGAAUUAUUGGGCGUAAAGCGUCCGCAGGCGGCCUUGUAAGUCUGUCGUUAAAGCGUGGAGCUCAACUCCAUUUAAGCGAUGGAAA